GUCCUGGUAGCUCAGCUGGAUAGAGCAAUGGCCUUCUAAGCCAUCGGUCGGGGGUUCG
rnacentral:tRNA from 1 species